UUGGGUUGGUCAUCGUCAUCCUCGAUGGAUUGGCCAUCAUCAUCCUUGGUGGGUCGUUAAUUAAGGGUUAAUUGGGUUGGUCACCAUCCGGGGUGGGUGGUUCGUUAGGGGUUAAUUUGCUUGGUCACCAUCGUCCUGGGUGGGUGGUUAAUUGGGUUGGUCACCGUCAUCCUGGGUGGGUGGUUAAUUAAGGGUUAAUUGGGUUGGUCACCGUCAUCCUUGGUGGGUGGUUCAUUAAGGGUUAAUUGGGUUGGUCAUCAUCAUCCUCAGUAGGUGGUUAAUUGGGGUAAUUAGGGGUUAGUUGGGUUGGUGAGUUGGUCACCAUUAUCCUGGAUGGGUGGUUAAUUAGCGGUUGAUUAGCCAUUAAUUAGGGGUAACGGGGCAAGUACCCACGGCACCGCGACACCGUGCUGGCGCUGGUCAAGACCGUCACCAUCGUCCUGGGUGCCUUCGUGGUGUGCUGGACUCCGGGCCAGGUGGUUCUGCUGCUGGACGGGCUGGGCUGCCAGAGCUGUGACGUGCUGGCCGUGGAGAAGUACGUGCUGCUGCUGGCCGAAAUUAACUCGCUAAUUAACGCCAUCGUUUACUCCUGGCGGGACAGCGAGAUGAGGAACACCUUCCGGCGCCUGCUGUGCUUCCCGUGCCUCCGGAAUUCCAAGUACGCCGCCCCGGAGCGGGGGCUGCACUCCCACAACGGCCACUUCACCGUGGAUUCUUCCAUUUAGGGGUUUUUUUUGGGGGAUUUUUGGGGUUUUUUUGGGAUUUUUUGGAGGUUUUUUUGGGCGAGGCUCGAAGGGCUGGGGGGCUCUGAGGUGGGAAUUUUUCUUGGGAAAUUCGUGGUGGAGCGAGGAUUGUGGGGUUGAGGAGGAUUCUGGAUUCCUUGGGGGUUCCAGCGUGGAAAUUUUCCUGGAAAAUUCCUGGUGGGAUCAAAGGUUGAGAAGAAUUUUGGAGUCCUGGGAGGUUCCAGCACCCAAAUUUCCAUGGAAAACUUGAGAACGUGGCGGUUUUGUGGGAUCUGGGAGAACCUCGGACUCCUGGGGGCUCCAGCCUGGAUUUUCCCUGGAAAAGUCGUGGUGGGAUCAAGGAUGAAGUGAUUUUUUAGGAUUUGGGAGAGUCCCGGAGUCCUGGGGGGCUCCAACAUCAAAAUUUCCUUGGAAAACUCCUGGUGGGAUCAAGGGUUGAGAAGAAUUUUGGAGUCCUGGGGGGGCCCCAGAACCAAAAUUUCCUGGAAAACUCCAGUUGGAUCAAGGAUGAAGUGAUUUUUUUGGGAUUUGGGAGCAUCCUGGGGGCUCCAACAUAAAAAUUUCCCUGGAAAAGUCAAGAACAAGGUGGUUUUCUGGGAUUUGGGAGAACCUCGGAGUUCUGGGGAGCUCCAGCAUCAAAAUUUCCUUGGAAAACUCCUGGUGGAUCAAAGGUUGAGAAGAAUUUUGGAGUCCUGGGAGGUUCCAGCACCCAAAUUUCCUGGAAAACUCCUGGUGGGAUCAAGGAUGAAGUGAUUUUUUGGGAUUUGGGAGCAUCUUGGAGGCUUGGGGAGCUCCAGUAUCCAAAUUUCCUGGAAAACUCCUGGUGGGAUCAAGGGUUGAGAAGAAUUUUGGAGUCCUGAGAGGCUCCAGAACCAAAAUUUCCACAGAAAACCCAGGAACGCAGUGGUUUUGUGGGAUCUGGGAGAACCUCAGAUUCCUGGGGGCUCCAGAACCAAAAUUUCCAUGGAAAACUCCUGGUGGGAUCAAGGAACAAGCGAUUUUUUGGGAUUUGGGAUCAUCUUGGGGGCUCCAACAUCAAAAUUUCCCUGGAAAAGUCAAGAACGAGGCGGUUUUGUGGGAUUUGGGAGAACCUCGGAUUCCUGGGGGCUCCAGAACCAAAAUUUCCUGGAAAACUCCUGGUGGGAUCAAGGAUUGAGAAGAAUUUUGGAGUCCUGGGGGGCUCCAGAACCAAAAUUUUCCUGGAAAUCUCAAGAACGAGGCGGUUUUGUGGGACCUGGGAGAACUUUGGAUUCCUAGGGGGGCUCCAGCUUGGAUUUUUCCCAGGAAAAUUCCAGGUUUUUAGGGAAACCGUGGGAGCAGAAUUCCCAUUAAAGACUGGUUUUAACCCGGA